rnacentral:rRNA from 2 species
UCGGUGGGGAUUAGUGGCGAACGGGUGAGUAACACGUGGGCAAUCUGCCCUUCACUCUGGGACAAGCCCUGGAAACGGGGUCUAAUACCGGAUGAUACUUCCACUCGCAUGGGUGGGGGUUGAAAGCUCCGGCGGUGAAGGAUGAGCCCGCGGCCUAUCAGCUUGUUGGUGAGGUAGUGGCUCACCAAGGCGACGACGGGUAGCCGGCCUGAGAGGGCGACCGGCCACACUGGGACUGAGACACGGCCCAGACUCCUACGGGAGGCAGCAGUGGGGAAUAUUGCACAAUGGGCGAAAGCCUGAUGCAGCGACGCCGCGUGAGGGAUGACGGCCUUCGGGUUGUAAACCUCUUUCAGCAGGGAAGAAGCGAAAGUGACGGUACCUGCAGAAGAAGCGCCGGCUAACUACGUGCCAGCAGCCGCGGUAAUACGUAGGGCGCAAGCGUUGUCCGGAAUUAUUGGGCGUAAAGAGCUCGUAGGCGGUCUGUCGCGUCGGAUGUGAAAGCCCGGGGCUUAACCCCGGGUCUGCAUUCGAUACGGGCAGACUAGAGUGUGGUAGGGGAGAUCGGAAUUCCUGGUGUAGCGGUGAAAUGCGCAGAUAUCACGAGGAACACCGGUGGCGAAGGCGGAUCUCUGGGCCAUUACUGACGCUGA